AGUGAACGCUGGCGGUAGGCCUAACACAUGCAAGUCGAACGGCAGCACAGUAAGAGCUUGCUCUUACGGGUGGCGAGUGGCGGACGGGUGAGGAAUACAUCGGACUCUACUUUUUCGUGGGGGAUCACGUAGGGAAACUUACUCUAAUACCGCAUACGCCCUACGGUUGAAAGCAGGGGAUCUUCGGACCUUGCGCGAUUGAAUGGGCCGAUGUCGGAUUAGCUGGUUGGCGGGGUAGAGGCCCACCAAGGCGACGAUCGGUAGCUGGCCGGAGAGGGUGGCCGGACACAGUGGGACUGAGACACGGCCCAGCCGCCGACGGUAGGAAGCAGGGGGGAGUAGUGCACCAUGGGCGGAAGCAGAAAGCAGCAACGCCGCGUGCGGGAGGACGGCAUUCGGGAUGGAAACCGCUUCCGCCUGUGAAGAAGAGUGAGUGACGGUAAGGGGUAAAGAAGCACCGGCUAACUACGUG
rnacentral:rRNA from 1 species